AUCACAUUGAUAGAGCACGUCAGACAGAGUUAAGGUGACCUCGUCUUGAAUCAACUUCACAAUGAAUUCUACUUGUUUGUGGGUUUUAUUGCUGUUGUGUGGCUUGACUUCAGCCGAGGUUGGUGAGAAUGUUGUUGAAACACGUUCAUGCUUUCCUGAUAUGUGUGAUCUUCUGAGAGAGUUCGGAUCCAUGGCAGACAAACUCAAAGUUAUGGAAACCAGGCUGCAGGACAGUGAAACCGGGCUGAAGAUGAUUGAAACCAGGCUGAAGAUGACUGAAACCAGGCUGAAAAUUGGUGAAACCAGGCUAAAUGACAGUGAACACCAGAUUCUUGAUCUGAAGAGCAAAGAGAGAACCAAGGUGAUCUUCAGUGCAGCGAUAGAUGGAAAUGGAGCCGUUGGACCGUACAACACAGACACAACUUUAGUCAACAGAACAGUGAUCACAAACAUCAGCAACGCCUACAAUGUAGCCACAGCUAACACUCUGUUCAAUAGAUUUUUGCUGUUGAAUAUUCAUGACACGGUUUACACACAGUAUCAAUUAAAGCAAUACAACACAACAACAACAACAACAUCACAGUGACAGUUUUGCAAGUACGAGUGUUUGCAGUGUAGUUAUUUGUUUAAACUAAUUCUAUUAGUGCCGCAGAAAUUGAAAAGAAUAAAAUCUGAAAGGUUUUUUUAUGCUUGGAGUGUGUUUGUGAUUGUGUUAAUGAAUCUGCCUUGUGUGUCGUAAGAAUGCAGAAAUGUUUACACACCAAUGCAGAGCUGGCUCUGAGGCGUCCUUGUAAUGAAGAUACUAAAGGAACACAAAUCUGAAUGCUUCAUCUUACCUCUAUAGUAACAUACAAAACACUAUACAGUCAUGUAUUAGGUUUUAAUAUGUGUAUAAAUAAAGGUAAGUUACAUGUCUCUUUAAUAAAUAUUACAAAUAUUAAGAUGCUUCUAUUUUGAAGCACGGACAUCAAACUAUCCUCCUCUUGCAGAGAGCAGCACAGUUAGCAAACUUUGUAACUUUACAGGCAAUUCAAAUAACACUUAAAUUAAACAUGGGCAUGUAUUACCUCGAGGUAAGUAUAAACAUGUAAUUCAUUCGACAUGACUUUUAUUCAACUACUACUACUACUAAUAAUAAUAAUAGCUUUCAGUGUUUCCCCUAGAAACCCAAUGGACGCUUUACAUACGUAAACUACUGUAUCUUCUGUGACAUGACCCUUCCUAGGGCGCUGGUGGCUGAGUUGUUAGAUUUGUUAGUUUUAAAAUAUUAUAUGAGGACAUCAUUGCCAGAGACACAACAGGUGUUUAAAUACAUUUAAGAUGUCAUGCGACAGAAGUCUUGGUCAUGUGAAUUUUGAAUGAACUUAGUAAUCAGGACAGUCAUAUAUUUAUAAGCCAGGUGGCCAAAGAAUACAGCCCUGAUUCUGUCAGAAACGAUAGGCAGACAUGAAUUUGAGCCAAAACAAAGAGAGAAGUAGAGGUCAAUGAACAGAGGGGUGAUGGAAAGUGCCACCAAUGGCAUAAAGAAAAACAUGUUUUCAACACACACACACAACUGAGAAUUUCAUUUAAAAAGAAAACAUAGUAAGCCAACUGAUGGUGUCGACUCUCUGGAGACAUACAAACCAACUGAGCAGGGACACUUAAA